rnacentral:lncRNA from 1 species
GCCGACUUGUCUUUACAAUAUAUUAAUCCCCCUAAAGCUAAGCUGAUUGAAUUAACAAUAAAGCAUCUUAUAGUAAAAGGGGUGGCCUAAUAAUAAAAUUAGCAAGCCAAGUUAGGUGAAGAAUGUAUCAGGGUCAGCGUCGGCGAGUGACAAGGUCAAAUCCUGUUUCUUUGGACCAAGGAGGCAAAGGAGUGGUUGUUUGUUGCCCUUGAUUCUUCUCAGUUUUCAACUUUCAAUGCCAGGACCCUUUCCCUCUUUGAGAGCUACAGAUCAACCCCAAAAGGCAUUGAUUCCAUUCGACCGCUAUUUAAAAGACGGUAUACUAUCAGUUCUUCAUUAUCUCACUUGGAACUCCGAGAAACUGCAAAAGUCCAGAAUUAACAAUUCCACAAUGAAUUUAUUACUUUAGCAUCCAAUUCAAUUCGUCAAAUGAGUUGAGCAAGACAACGACAACAGUUCUAGCCGAUGGUCCAUGAGGCAGAAAGAAAUAUAUAAAUAUAUAUAAAUAUAAUUGACUGGUUAUAUCACGGGCUAUACAUUCAGCCAGAGGAAGCAAUCUAGAAUUCCAAAGUUAUC